UCAACCGGGGAGUAACCGGAACCCUACUAGGCUAGCAAAAGCCUCUCUCCAAUAAUUGAUCUGAUCGCUUCGUGCGAUCUUCUAAUUGGACGAGAGAACUUUUCAAAUUAUGGAGCAAUUAACGUCUCCAAUUUUCCUGAUUCAAGGUUGCUCGGUUUUCUCGUUGCCGCGGCGAGUUUUCGAUGAUCGGAUACGAGCGCACGCGCACCCCGUCGUUAGAUACUCAUCUGAAAGAGGAGGAGCGAGGUCUGUGUCGCGUUUCUCAACGGUAUGGAAGAAAAUGUACGCACGUUUCCGUGAACAAUCAACCGCGAUCAAGAGAGAAAUGUCUUCAACUUGUUGACAAUUCGUCUCUCAUCAUCCAUCGAUGCGAGAUGUCUCGGUUGUGAUCAGAUCUUUCGUCCGGUUUCGUCGAUUCGCGUCGAGACCAGGAAACAGCCUGUGCUGCUGCAUCCCUUCCUAUAUUAAUCUUUUUCAUCUGAACGGAAUAAUGUAACGUUGCAACGCACACACACGACGCACAGCGCAAUUGCGAGUCACACACAGCUGUACUCGCGUCGAUAUACUACAUAAUACAUGAGAUCUAGUAUAUAACAAUAGAGGAGUUUUUGAUGAGAAUCUAGAUUUGUAGUAUUUAUAUAUUAUGGACGUCCACGGAGUCGGGGUGGUUGCUGUUCUGGGCACGGUCGGAGCCGCUACCGGAGCGAUCUCGGCAAUAAUCGUUUACACGAUUUGUGCGCGUCGUCGACGAUUGCCGUUGCUUUCUUCUGGCGGUGGACCGCUC